AUGCUCCUCUUUUGUCCUAGACUGUACAAUUUAUGACCUCAAGUUCCUAAAUAUUUUGCUUGUUUGAUUUGAAAGACUAAUAAGAAAUAUUAUUGUUACAAGUUGAAAAGUUCUCUCAGUGUAUUUUUGCUUUCAUCAAUCUCCAAGUUAUGUUGAUUCAUCUCUAUGAUCUGUGGACACAAAAUAUUGAUCUCUUGUAAUUGAUAAUGUCAUCUACCAGGGAGUUACUGCUGUCCUUUGCGUUCUUUUUCCUUUCAUUUUGAGUCAUAAUGGAUGUUCUGUUCUCUAUAACUAUGGGGAAAUGCCACAUCUCUGGUCUUUUCACUGCACAUACAAGAGAACCUUUCCCUUUUCCUCGGAAGUUAAAAUUGUUGUGCCCUUGUUCUGGAUAUGAUUACGUUUGUUCUGCACACCUACAAUCUGUGGUUGCAUGCUGAAUGGGCGUUUUACUCCUGAAUUUCAGAGCAGUUGUGCUCUUUGUAAACUGCCGUUGAAGUUGUGUUAAGUGGUUUCAGAAUCAUGAAUUGAAAAGUUUGAGCAUGGAUGAACUUAAUUGUGGAAGUUGCUUCUAAUCAUGAUGGUCCUUCAGCUGGAAUCUGAGUGGCAUUACCCUUGCAGCAAUCAAUGUUUUUAUACUUCGGAUUUGAGUAGUCUAUUUUUUCAGUCAAAGGAAAAUAUUUUGUGUCUUUGUUUACAAGAAGACUUCAUUCAUUCCAUAGAUAUAUUUUAGGUGCAAGAGCCUUUGGAAGUAUAACUUGUUUGGUUUGAAGUAUUUGCAUUAGCUUAAAUUUGAUUCGAGGCUUACGUUAACUGGCUUUCCUCUGUUGAGCUAGAAUCUAGUGAAUUACCUACUCUGAAUCUGUGAAUGAGCUUUUUUGUUCUGAAACGAUGGUCAUAGGCUACCUACUAGGUCAUGACUUUGAAAGCUUUGAUUAUGUGUAGUCUGGAUGUUCAACCACUAAAAUGGUAGAAUGUACCAUGUUUCCUUGAUGGUCUUGAUGGUCAUGGGCUACCUACUGGUCUGGAUGUUAAACUACUAAACUGGUAGAAUGUGCUAUGUUUCCUUGAUGUGGUGUUGCCAAACCUUCAUCUGUUACUGAUAACAGAUUCGAGAAAUCGUGGUGAUUUAGGUUUUAAGAUUUGAAUACUAUUGAGGAUCUUCUCAUUUUUUUCUUUUGGAAAUUUUCCUGUAGAAAAAAUGUAAAAGUAGUCGACUGCAAACUAACGGAUUGCAGAAACCAUAAGAAAAAGAAUCCUAAAAAGUGAAGAAUCCAAAUAAUACAGUGCAGCUGGAAUUGCCAUAUUAUAGCUGUAUAUAUGACCUUCAAAAUCACCCAAAGAAAAACAAUUGAAUUCUGCAUAUACAUGAUUAACUACAAUCAAGCACAUAAACAACUAAAGAAUUGAUUUAACAAACUAAUUAACCAUCUAUAAUCAUGGAAAUGUUUAGACCUUAAUCAGAACAAAGUGCAACCACAGCUGCACCAUUUCUUCAGGCUUCAAUCCUCUUCACAAUAUACUUCAUAAUUGUUCAUAUACUUCUUUUUGAACUUUAUUCUAGAUUGAGCAAGUGAUGCAUGACUCGAUUAAAAGGGCGUUUAUUAUUGCUUCUAGUUUGUUAUGGAUGUUGAAUUUGCCUCUCUCUUCUUCUGUCAGGAACCCAUGUUGGAGAACAUGCUACACUGGAAUUGCUAAUCUUUGAAGCCCAGGAUUGACAUCUGAAAAAGGCAAAUUCUUUUCAAUCACCAAAAACAGGGUCCUCUGCCGCGCCCAAAAUUGUUUAUGUAAUUGUUCAACACCAGUGGAAUUGUGGUUGUUUUUUUCCCUCUGGAGGAGGACUAGAGUCACCAGUUUGCUGCAUCGUCACUUGAUCAUGAAUAUUGAUCACAAGAGGCUCUUCUUAAAAGUCUUCAUCUUUCUUUGCCCACACAAUUCCUUUGAGGCUGUUGAUUUUUGCUCAAAGAAUGGUUCUUGUUGAUAAAGAAUGAGCAAACUGAACUCGGUACUUUUUGCCGACCAAACCAUUCUUUUCCCUUAUCCUCCAAAGCAUUCUUCAAAGGUACUGCCUAUUCACUUGAUGGACAAAGUCCAACCUCAUCAGCAGAAUUCUUCUUGUCUUUGGCAAUCUGGUUCUAGUACUUCUUUGCAAAAGAACCAAUUUUUUACCCUUAUUCACCAAAGAUUUUUUGAAAGGCACCAUUUUUUUUUUAAAUCAAGGGACAAAAUCAACUCAUCUUGAAUAGAAAUGAACCUUGCUCUGCAAAGAUUAAUUCUCUUUCGAGGGCAUAGGUGAAAACUUAAAACCACCAUUCUUGAUUUUCCAUGUGAUAUGGUGAUCAGAAUUCUAGAAACAAAAAUGCAAAUUUUUAGCUAGAAUUAAACAGUAUAUUUCAACAAUGAAAUCUGCAAUUCAAAUUCUCAUUAAUUGAUCUAAUUGAAGUAACAGAGCUACAGAAAAAGUGGAACAGGAAAGAAGGGGAAUUGAGAAUGCAGGAAAACUUGGCGAAUAAGGAUGAGAGAGAAACCUCGAUAGAGCAAUCUUCGCCAAGUUGCAUACGCAAAACAGGAUCCAAAAUCUGACGAAAUACAUCCAAUCCUACUACGAUACAGCUACUGCAAAUAACUAACUCCACAUCAUCCUGCUUACAUUGUGAAAAGUGAGCAAAUGGAAAGUGAUAGCUUGAGCCAAAGCUUCACGCAUGCACUGCUUCUUGGCGAAGUAAAGCGUGAUCCAAACUCGCGCCUUCGUCCCCAAUCUUCCAGUAAUCAAACCAGGUCUCUCUUCUCGGCUUCGCGCCUUCGGUACAAAAUAGCAGAAAUAACAGCAUUUCAACCUACCCUUUCACCAUUUGGGUUUUGUUAAUUUCCUUAAGCUGUUUGUCUUUUUGGAAGAGCAUUUACCAAGAGAAAAUAGUUGCUUUAGUUCCUUAUCUAAAUGGAUCUAGCAAGAUUAGCAUUUAUCUGAGCAGUAAUUUUAAGGUAUACUACUAGUAUCACUCCGUAGACAGCAUGGCAGAAGAAUUGUAGAAAGGGUAAAAUACAAAAACCCCCUUAUGUUUUGGGGUUCGGUCACGAUGCCUCCUCAUUAUUUAAAAACCCUCACAUAAUCCCCUUGUACUUUGGAUUUCUUUGAAACUUGGACAGAAAUCAUCCAAAUUAGCAGAGUUUGAAUGCACGCGCGUGUCCAGCAAGUUUCAAGAACAAGAGUAUAUAUGCGGCUUAGUCGACCAUUCACAAGACAAUAAUAUAUGUUCAAAUGAAGUUUAUUGAAGAUUAGAGUUUAGGAGCUUACAACGUCAAAACUUGCUUGAUUGUUGAUUGAAGCUUCCUCCCAAGUUUAAAGUCUAAACGAGUUUGUAUUUUAGAGAGAAGGAGGAGGAUUUCUUCACCUUAGAGAGAAGUGAGUUGAAGGAAUUGUGGCUCUGUUUGGAUUCAAGUAUUUUUCAAAAACUAGCUUUUCAAAUAUAAUGCUAUAAUAAUAUAUGAACAAAAACAACUCCAAAACACUUAUCCAUACAACAUAUAAAAUACAACUCACAAAUAUACAAAAACAUUUUAAAAAAUUAAAUUUUACAAUAUCUUCCACCUAUCAUCACCCACCAACCCCACCCACCAUUGCCACCACCCCUCCUUCUUUGUUUCUCCUCCCUCUUCUUUCUUUCUUCCUCCUUUCUUCCUCCCUCUCUCUCUUUCUCGCCACCCCUGCCUCUCCCUUCCCCACUCUAAUCUAGCUUCAACUAGAUUGUGAUAGGGAAGAGGGGAGGGAAGGGGAGGGGCCAGAUCGGGAGGGGGGGAAAGGGAGGGGCGGGGGGUGGCGAGGAAGAGAGGGGGGGACGAGAAAGAAGGAAAAAGGAGGUGGUGACUACUGUGGAUGGGGGUGGUGGCAGUUAUGAGUGGUAGUGUUAAUUUUUAAAAAGAACUUUAAAUUUUUUUAAUUUUAAAAAAUACUCCAAAAUAUAUUCCAAAAUUCCCUGCAAAAACACCACAUCAAAUCUCCUGAUCUGGCCCCCCCCUCUUCCUAUCACAAUCUAGUUGAAGCUAGAUUAGAGUGGGGAAGGGAGGGGCGGCGGUGGCGAGGAAGAGAGAGGGGGAGGAGAAAGAAGGAAAAAGGAGGUGGUGGCUAUUGUGGAUGGGGGUGGUGGUAGUUUUGAGUGAUAGUGUUAAUUUUUAAAAAGGACUUUAAAAUUUUUUUAAUUUUAAAAAAUACCCCAAAAUAUAUUCCAAAAUUCCUUGCAAAAACACCACAUCAAAUGGUGAGUUUGAGGGUAUUUAUAGCAAAAUUUUUGUUUUAUAACAGUACUUGCUACAAUAUAUAUUACCUAUAGUGUUGCUACAAUGUGCGCUACAGUGUACAAUAUAGUUUUUACUGUCAUGUUUGCACAGUAUCUUGACGGAUCUCUAUUGUGAUUUUCAACAUUACUGUUUACAAUUGUUUAUUGUUUGUACAACUUAUUAAAUUUGUGAGAAAAUUCAUAACAGCUGGUUCUUGUUUAGGUACUUGUGGUUUUCCUUCUGAUUGUAAUUGAAAAAAGAUUGUUGGAGUUGUUGGACAUAUUCUUGUUUAUCCGUAAUUGAGGCUAGGUUUGCUACUGUUAUAGACUUCUGCUGCAAAAACUGGCUUGUUUGUAGAUCUCUUGAUUUGAUUGAUUUUGGAUUCUUUUCAAACCAUGCUUGAAUGUUUGUUGGUUGAAUGAAGUCUUUUGUAAAUGCUGGCCACAAUUUCGUAUACUCCUAUCAGAUAAGGAUUGGAAGAAAUUGGGUUUGUUUGAGAUAUUCAUACUUCUACUGAUAUACCCAUGCUACAGAAAAGAUUGAAGACUAGUGUAGGCUGGUGAGAAUAUAAUUGCUUGGUGAUUCAAAUUAGUUGGUAACCUUCUUUCACAUCUGGUGCGAGUAUCUGCAGGUUUGGUCAGUGUGCAUUCCACCAGGUUACAAACCAGGCAAGGAAAUUGUACUUCUUUGUCUUCAUAAAAUAGAGUAGGUGUGAAUGCUGGUUUAGUUCAUUUUGUAAUGAAAAGGUAUGAAACGAAGAUGCCUUAUAAUCCCAAUAGGUUUAUCCAAGAGGAUUAAAAGGAAUUGUGAAUGGUUUAGGUCAACUUAGGUUGAUUCCCUAUUCAAAGGGCCUAAUAACUUUGGGAAUUUGUGCCCAAGAAUGGGUAUUGACUAUGGGAUUACCAUUGUUGUCUUUUUCUAUGGGAUUACCAUUCUUGUCUUUUAAUUCUCUGUCAUGAGGUUUGAAGGUUAUAGACUAGGAAUCUGUCAAGAUAAGUUUAUGUUAUAGACUGGGAAUCUGUCAAGAUAACUUUGUAGUAUUUUAGGGUUUCAGUUACUGUUUGAAGUACAAAAUGAUGGUUUGGAGGGAUAAUAGAUUUGGCAAAUUUGUUUGGGUCAUUUUGUAGAUCUAGCUCAGUUAGGAUGAGGUUCAUGAAUGAAUUUGUUUUAAAGUAGUUGCUAGGGAUGGUUGGUUUAAAUGAUUUUUGUUUGGACAAUUGUUUUCCUAUAUUUGGAGCAGGGGGUUUUAAUUAUUGUUGACAACUUGGACUGAGAGUACCAAAUUGCUUAAGGUUUAGAUAAGCAAGUGCCUUUGUUCCUCAACCAUAGAGCUCUAGCUCAGUGGCCACCACCACUCUUGGUGGGGUGGGAGGUCAGGGGUUCAAUCCUUGGCUCCCAUCAAAUUGUCACUUUAGGUGCAGUCUAAUUGACUUUCUUCGAUUCCUUCCUUUCCCCCUAGAUUAGGAUAGAUUAGGUUAUAGGAAUUCUGUCGUUUCGACAAAAAAAAUAAAAGUGCUUUUGUUCCUCUUCUUCAACCAUAUCAACCCAUGAUUUUAAUGGAAGAGAAAAUAGGGGUUGUACCAGGCUAUUGGCUCGUAUAGGUUUUGGGUCAGUUGGAAAAUUUCAAUCAUGGGUUGUUUCUCUACCUUUUUGGAUGUUUGGGAUGAAUUUGAGGAGCUUGGUGAGUUUGAAUCGGGGUUUUGUGGGUUUAUCAAGUGACAAAGUGAAGUUUCUUGGGCCUCUAAGGCUGCUGCUAUUGCUUUUUCUUUCUGGUCAUUAUUUCUCUACAAGACUUCACGAGUUAGAUAAUUAGGAAACGAGUUUGAGGACUCUUUAAUAUAUUCAAUCUCAAAAUUAAAGAUUGAUAAAAUUAUUUGCCAGCUAGUAUAAAUCUGUUUCGAGACAAGGUUUUUAACAUUUUUUUCUAAAAUAUGUUUUGCUAAUUUACAAUCUACUGUUAAUAAAAACUUUUGGUUUAAUAACUCUCCUUGAAAUUUUGAAACACAUAAAGCAAUAGCUAAAACUUCUUUUUUAAUAGUAGAAUAGUUUUGUUGGGAAUUAUUCCAAUGUUUAGAGGUAAAGGCAAUAAUUUGUUCUUUGCCAUCUUUAGAUUGUUUGGUAUGCCACCAUAACAUGUAUCUGAGGCAUCAGUUUCAACUAUUUUAAGGAUUGCUUGAUUAGGGAGAGAACGACAAGGAAUGAAUUUCAUUUCGGCUUUAAUUUGGCGGAUUAUGUGAGUAUGUUUGUCUGUCCACAAGGUGAUAAUUUUUUGAGUCUAUCAUACAAAGAUUUGGCUAGGUUAUUGAGAUCGGGAUAAAGUCUGCAAUGUAAUUGAGACAUCUCAAAAACCUUUGAAGUUGUUUUUAAAGGAUUUUAUCUGAGAAUUUGCGAGCAAAUUGGAUGAUCUUUUUAUAGGAUAAUCGUUCCUAGGUAAAAUUCGACAUAUCGUUUGUAAACUAUGACAAAAUUAGCCGGUCUCUGAUAUCUUGAUUCAGUUUUUCAACUUUUUGUAAAUUCCCAUUCUUGCACAAAAAAAGCUACUUACUGUUUCUUGUGUAAUUACUCUGAAAACUGUGUUGGAGUGUUCCCAAGAUGAUUUCAUGGGAAAACUGUUGGAUAUUUUAAUAAAAAAGAUCAUUAUUAUUUUGAAUUCAUUCACAUGCUUAUUUUGAAUUCAAAUACAAUGAGUUACAAAUUUUGAAAUGAAUUUUCAGUUACAAAAUGACCAUUAAAAAUGUAACUUAUGAGUUACAAAUUUUGAAAUGAAUUUUCAGUUACAAGAUCACCAUUAAAAAUGUAACUUAUGAGAUUUAUGUCUUGUUUUUUGUAACCUAUGUGAUGAUUAGGUUUUAAGAAUUGAUUUAUUAAAUUUUGACUAUUAUACAAUGACUUAGACCUUUUCAAAUUUUGUAACUGAAAAUAUGACACAUUUAUUCCAUUUAAUGGUGGUAUUCUAAUACUCCUAAAAUUCUAGCCUAUAAAUAGAGGCCACUAUCAACCAAGUUUUAGACACUUUUCUUGCUAUCUCAAAAAACUAUCUUCCUCUCACUUCUAUUGGACAUUAGUUGUUGAGAAGAGCUUUAGCUUCUCUAAAUUGUGUAGAUUUAGUAGAAGCAACAGCAUAGGCUGGGCUGUUGUACCCCAGAGACAACGUGCCAUCAACCUUCUACACCGGGCAUAAUCCCGAGAGGGGCGCGAAUCGUCUUAAGAGAGCGACCUAGUCCACGCCCCACCUAGCCAAAAUUACUUUACUUCUCUUUCUUUGACUUUUGUUUUGCAGGUUGAUCGGGCAUAUCAAGUUCUAAAGGAACAAUAAAUACCAAUCACAAGCGUCAAGUAUUGCAGACUGUAGUAGAUGAAGAAUUUGGCUAAUUGAUUAAAAUAUUGUUAGAUGACAAAAAAGUUAGUCAAAUGUGGUGGCUUGGCUGAUUGGUAUCAAUAUAUGCUCGUCGUGCCAUCAAUUUUUUUUAAAAAAAGCUUUCUGGCCGUCGCGCCAUAUAGGAGCGACGGCUAGAGAAUGCAGAAAUUUUUUUUUUAAAUCUUUCUAGCCGUUGCGCCAUGUAGGAGUGACGGUCAGAGAAUUCAGAAAUUUUUUAAAAAAAAAAAAACCUUCGGUCGUCACGCCAUUCAGAAAUGUUUUUUUUAACCUUUCUACAAUUCAGAAAAAUUUUUUCUUUUAAAAAUUAUUUAAAAUCAAAAUUUUUAAAAACAAUGCAGACAGUCCGACAAAAUUUUAAGAACAAACACUGGCCUCGCGUAGCAUUUUAGCAUUUUAAAGGAUGCUAGAUUUUAAAAAUUUGAUCCAUUUGUUAAAUGAUUUAGGGGUUCGUUAAAGAAUUAAGGUUUACCAUUUUAGCAAGUUUAAGUUAUAUAACAUGUUUAAUUAUUAUGCUUGUUAAAUUUAGAAAAUGGUUUAAUAAUAUGAUUUAAGUUUAAGUGAUUGCAUAAUGGAUGGAAGUAUUGCUUAAUAUUAUUAUGAUUUGUUAAUUUUAACUUUAUUAUCUAUAAUUCCGAUAGAAUGUUAAAGGAGCCGUAAUUGUCUUAAAAAAUGAAAAAUUACAACACGAAUUGCAAUUUUUAUAUUUAAAUUUUCAUAUAAAAUGCAAUCAUAUAAAAAGAUUAAUAACAUAUUUGUAGAAAUGAAGAAUUGUUUGUGUGUCAUUAUUUGGUAUACGAUAAUUAGUUUAAAUAAUUUAAUCAAUUAAAAUAGCCAUAAAAUAACUAGUACUUAUUUGUUUUGUAGGUAUUAUCCUAUAGGGACCCUUCUAUCCAAUUAUAGGGUUUAAUAAAAUAACUUGUACUUCUCUAUUUUUAAAAUAUUUAAUGUUAUUCAAAUUGAAAGUGAUUGGAUUAAACAGAAAAAGUAGGCAACUAAAUUAAAUUAAAUGUCAAGAUUGUGUGGAAUGCAUUAAAUGGAUGAGAUAUAAAACAUUGUCGAAAACAAAAUAAUAUCGAUGCCUCGUCGUUUUCUUGCCCUUACCCUUGGCCUAGCUAAAAUGGUAAAAAUUAAUUCUUUAAGAAACCCCUAAAUCCUUUAACAAAUGGAUCAAAAUUUUAAAACCUAGCAUCCUUUAAAAUGCUACGCGAGACCAGUGUUUGUUUUUAAAAUUUUGUCGGACUGUCUGAAUUGUUUUUAAAAGUUUUGAUUUUAAAUAAUUUUUAAAAGAAAUUUUUUUUCUGAAUUGUAGAAAGAUUAAAAAAACAUUUCUGAAUGGCGUGACGGCCGAAGAAUUUUUUUUUAAAAAAAAUUUCUGAAUUCUCUGGCCAUCGAUCCUACAUGGCGCGAUGGCUGGAAAGAUUAAAAAAAAUUUUCUGCAUUCUCUGGCCGUCGCUCCUAUAUGGCUCGAUGGGCCAGAAAGCUUGUUUAAAAAAAUUGCCCGUCGUGCCAAGAUGGCACGAUAGGCAUAUAUUGAUACCAAUCAGCCAAGCCACCAUAUUUGACCGACUUUUUUCUAUCAUCUAACAAUAUUUUGAUCAAUUACCCGAAGUGGAUCAGCUUAUAAAAGAAAAGUUCGGUCUACUUGUGAAGGAAGUAAUAGCCACACAUUGAUAGUCAGUCGGUACGAAUCACUGUAUAUAGCAAGUAGUUAACUUUAACUUUGGAAUGAGGUGAUCCCUCUUCCUCCUAAGCUUUUUUCUUUUUAAAAAAUAUAAAAUGAAAAAAAUGAGAAAGGAUAUCCUUUUCCCUUAUAUAUAAAUCUGAAGGGUAAAAAUCAUACACUUCCACCAAAAAUAAGCAAAAAAUAGCAAACAAUACUUAGUGCAUUAUCGACCGAGAAUUUACUUGAUAAGGGAAAAAUGCACUUUUCAUCCCUAUUGUUUGGGUGUUGGAUAAUUUCAUCUCUAAAGAUUCAAGUAAAACACAUUUCAUCCUCAUAGUUUUAUAAUUUUUACCAAUUUCAUCCUUAAAGUUUGAUGCAAACACAUUUCAUCCUUAUAAGUUCAUAAAUUUGACUAAUUAAGGACAAUUGAUGGAUUGUCAAGCAAUUCGAAGGGGAAAAACCCACUUUUCGUCCUUAAACUGUUAGUUAGGGACACAUUUUGUUCCCAAACUUUUAGACGCACCAUAUUUAGUACAUGAAUUAAUUAUUUUGGACCACAUUUAGUCUAAAAACGGUAAAAUAUUCAAUUUGGAUGGAGAAGUUUGACGUGGCCGUUAAUUUUGACUGAGAAAUUAUUUUUACUUAACGGUCACAUGUCAAACGUGACUUUCUCCAUCCAAAUUAAUCAAUUUACCGUUUUUGGACUAAAUGCGGCAAAAAAUAAUUAAUUCAUGUACUAAAUGUGGUGCGUCUAAAAGUUUGAGGAUGAAAUGUAUCCCUGUCUCAAAGUUUAGGGACGAAAAGUGGAUUUUUCCUCUAGCAGAACUAUUCUUUCCAAUAGAUUGCACCAAACAAUAUGUUAUCACAAGCUGCACGUCAUUUUUGGAUUCUAUAUAAGGGAAAAAUCCACUUUUCGUUCCUAAAUUUUGAGUUAGAGACACAUUUUGUCCCCAAAUAUUUUGACAAAACACAUUUAGUACACAAAUUAACAAUUUCUAGCCACAUUUAGUUAAAACAAAGGUAAAUUGCUCAAUUUGAGAAAUUUUAGGGCAAGUACGAAUUGAAGAUGAAGUUUUGCUGCUUGAUAUGGUGGAUUACUCCAUUAACUCUACUCCAUUUCUUGGUAGAUUGUAGAUUUGGAAGCUAGGGUUUAAGGAUGGAAAUUGUAAAUCGGUGUGAAAAGGGGAAAUUUGGAGAAGGAAAGCGACGAAGGUAAGAGAGAAUAAAAUGGUGGGUUUUGUUUCAUUGGUUUAGACUGAUAUUUUACUUUUUGUUGAUGGCCACAUGAUACAUACAUGGCCUUCUCCAUCCAAAUUGAGCAAUUUACUGUUUUUGGACUAAAUGUGGCCAGAAAUUGUUAAUUCGUGUACUAAAUGUAUUCUGUCGAAAAGUUGGGUCUCUAGUUAAAAGUGUAGGGAUGAAAAGUGGAUUUAUUGGAAUGUCAUCAUUUGACCAAGGAAUGUCAGUUAGUAAAAUACAAAAAACAUUGGACCAACAAAAUCCUCAAAAUUUGUUUUUUAAUUCACUUUCUUGUUUAAAAAAUAAAAAAAUUUUAGCCACCAUUAUUCUCUUCUUCAUCACAAAUUGAACAAAAAGAUCGAAAGGAAAUGAAGUUGUGGAGAAGAAAUAACCCAAUUGUAGCCAAUUGGACAAAUUUUUCAAACAAUUCCAUUGCAACCAAUUGAAGAAAAAUAUUAAACUGAAAGAAAUAAUUGUUUAGAUUGUCAUUUAUUUGCAAAACUUUGUUUUAUUGCAUCAUAUACAUGUUUUUCAAGUUGUCUAUCUAUCAUCUAAUCUAUUUUUUUUUAUCUCACAUAUAUCAUAUCACAAAUUAAAAAAAUAGUUUCUUAUUCGAACACACUCAUUAUUAUUUAUAUAAUUUAAUCAAUGACUGAAUUAAGUAUAAAUAAUACAAUUAUUAACAGGAAAUGCUAGUCAUGUGAUGAUAUUCCAUUCAAAUUGGUUAACAAUCAUUCAAUUGUCCUUAAUUGGUCAAAUUUAUGAAACUGUGAGGAUGAAAUGCGUUUGUAUGAAACUUUAGGGAUGAAAUUGAUCACAAUUAUAAAAAUACGAGGAUGAAAUGGAUUUUGAUUAAAAUUUUAGGGCUGAAAUUGUCCAGCACCCCAAACAUUGGGGAUGAAAAAUGCAUUUUCCCUACUUGAUAAGGACUUAGAUAUAAAGAAUUAUUAAAACAGUCACUACUUAACGGUCAUUUGGCAUAGAGUUCUUGAAAACUGAAAUGGCUUGUAGUAAAAGAAAUUGGAUUCUUGACAAGUAAUUAUUUACAUUAGAAAAAUUUGUGUUAACUUCUUGCACAUAAGCUUCUCAAUUGUCUUUUCCAUUUGGACUUUCGUGCUUGUGCAUCGGUUUUGCAUGUGCCAUUAAAUGAAAGCUACGUAAAAACAAGCCCUGGAAUUUCUUGGGAUCUCCUUCCCUGUAUAAACCUUAUGCUCGAGUAGCUAUUUGCAAACGUAAAACAAGCCAUGGAAUUCCUAGGGCAUAUCCUUCUUGUACUUCUAGUCAUUUUCCAUGUGCAUGGGGCAAAUGCCUUUGCCCAUGGAGUGUCCGCAAGGGCUCGUGGCUUGCACAAAAUUGACCGUGGUGAUGCCCCAUUAUCGCCAAGCUUUGGUAUAGAUGUACUCAACCGGAGCAGUUUCCCCAAAGGGUUCGUCUUUGGGGUUGCAACUUCUGCUUAUCAGGUUUGCAAUCUAUUUAUUUAGCAUUGUUUUCUUAAUUUUUUUCAUCAAGGAUGGAAUUUAAGAAACAGAAAAGUGGUAAGCGAUUUAAAUCCAAAAUCACUAAUUCUUAGGAUUUCAAACUUCACCACUACAUUAAGGCUUUCACAGAUAUUUAGUAGUUGAUUUCAUGAUGCCAGCCAUGUUUCUCAUUUUUGGAUAUCCUAAAAUAUUUGUGAUGCUUUGACCAGUGCAGUUAAAAUUUUUUAUUUUUUGUGUUCAUUUAAUGUAUUUUAUUUAUUGCACCUUGAUCCUUUUCUGUAGUUGGAAUUCUGAAUUUGGAAGUAAAAGAGUAGAUGAUUAGACGACUAUGAGUAUCCCUCCGUUGUCGCUAAGAAGUUUAGAACGGAACUACGGAUUAUUAUCUUGUUGGAGCACACACAGGAAUGGAAUGACUGACUUUCUUCAUUUCAUAUAGGUUGAAGGUGCUUGGAACAUUGACGGAAAAGGUCCUAGCAAUUGGGAUAUUUUCACGCACAAAUUUCCAGGUCUACAUUUUCUCUAACCAGUAAACCUUUCUCUUCUAUGUUUAAGGUUUGAGGCAUUUAAGAAAAAAAAAAAAAAAGGGUUUGAGGCAUUUGAAUGUUCCCGGUCAUUUUGUUGUUCAUAUAUGUUUUCUACAAAAUUAUGGUCAACAAUCCUUUUGAUUGACACCAAAUUUUUUCUGUUCAUAUGGACUCCUCUUCUCAUAGUGUUUGAAGCUUUGCUUUCUACAUGAGUUGGAAUCGGAUAGGAUGUUAAAUUAAAUUACUAUAGAAAUUAAGUGCUAUAUGAGGCUAAUUAAGUGGUAUUUUGCAUUUUGUACAUAAUCGAAAAUUUUUUUCAGUGACUUACAUUCCAAGGUUAAUCAACUUUUGUCUAUAUCUUCUUGCAAGUAAAACUGUACAUUUCUCUGUUUUAAGUUGUAAUUAGUACUUUUGUUUGUCGUAUUAAAUACUAUUUAAUAAUAGUAUUGGUCUAUGCGGUGAGAUUUCUUAUGCUUUUGUGAAUAUUUUUUUAUACCAUUUCCAAUUUAUUUAACAUCAUAAUCAAGUGUUUUUCAAUGCAAUAUGUCUAAAGUACUGAUAAUCUAGUCUGACCAACGUCACUCUGAAAGUACCAGGUAAAAUUGCAAAUGGCAGUAAUGGUGAUGUGGCAACAGACUCCUACCAUCGAUAUAAAGUAAUGCAAGUCAAAUCUUUUUUUUUUUUUUUUUUUGUUAAAGAAAAAUUAAACAGUAGUAAUACAGAUAUGAUACAGGCAGAAUAAGCUAAAAAAAACCAGCAAGAAUAAUCGAUUAUUACUGUUUAUCAUUACUUUUUUUUUUUUUUGGCAAAAGUUCAUUUCUACAAUUUUAUCUUUAUGAUCAUAUGACAGGAUGAUAUCAAGCUCUUAAAGGAAAUGAAUGGAGAUUCUUAUCGCUUCUCAAUUGCAUGGAGUAGAGUAAUUCCUGGUAAGGCAUCAGUGAAUAAAUCUUAAUUACGCUAUAAUUUUGGCCCACUAAUUAUCCAAGAAAUGAAGCUCAAGUUGAAUUUGAUGACAUACUAUUACUAAACUUUACAAUGAUUUAAUUUGCAGAUGGCAAGACUAGCAAAGGAAUAAAUGAGAAAGGGAUUCAGUAUUACAAUAAGCUCAUAGACGAACUUCUGGCUAAUGGUAUAUAACAUUAAAAAACGCAAGGCUUCUCUUUCCAUAUGAUCUUCUUAACGGUCUAUGCAUUCAUCUUAUCAAAGUUCCAUUUGUACAGGCUUAACACCAACUGUGACAAUUUUCCACUGGGACGUUCCCCAGGCUUUAGAAGAAGAGUACGGCGGUUUUUUGAGUCCUAAGAUUGUGUGAGUCUUGAUCCCUCUUCAUAUAAUAUUGCUAUAUUAAUCUGUUUGGAUUUCCCCCUUUUUAAAAGACAAGCUUUUCAAAUACAAUAUUAUAAUAAUACACAAAUAAAACAAUUCAAAAAAAUCUCAAAAAAAGGUUACGUUUGGAUUAGCCGUUUUUGGAGCUAUUUUUGAAAUAUUUUACUGUAGUAAUGUAAGUAAAAAUUUUUUAUUGUAGAUGAGAUUGUUUUUUGAGGCUAUUUUUGGUGUUUUUGAGGUUUUUUUUUGUGUUUUUGAAAUUUUUGAAAUUGUUUUUUUUUGUAUUUUAUAUAAUUAUUUUUAUUUGUGUAUUACUAUACUAUUAUACAUGAAAAACUUGUUUUCAUAGAUAUUGUUACAGUAAAGUUUUUCAAAAAUACACCAAAAAACAACUAAUCCAAACUCAGUUAAGAAGCAAUAACAAAUCAACGCAUAUAACACAUCAACAAAACACAGUUUAGCAGAAAAGCAAGAAAUAAAUGAUUCAACAAACAAAUACAAUGUAUGUUGAUUUCGUAGUACCAUAGUAAACAUAAUUACCGCUCCUCACAUUUCAAUAAUUAUACUUACACCCUAAAGAAGGGUUUGUAUAAUUUCAGGGGAGAAUUGCAAUUUUGUUACUCAAAUUCUGAGCACUGCACCAAAUUGUUUCCCAAAAUUUUAUCAUAUUUUUUUAUGCAAAAAAAUUUCUACAAAAAAAAAAAAAAA
rnacentral:lncRNA from 1 species